AAUAUUGGUCAAUGGACGCAAGUCUGAACCAGCCAUGCCGCGUGAAGGAUGAAGGUCCUCUGGAUUGUAAACUUCUUUUAUCUGGGACGAAAACGGGAUUUUUAUCUCAAUUGACGGUACCAGAGGAAUAAGCACCGGCUAACUCCGUGCCAGCAGCCGCGGUAAUACGGAGGGUGCGAGCGUUAUCCGGAUUUACUGGGUUUAAAGGGUGCGUAGGUGGGCUUAUAAGUCAGUGGUGAAAUCUCCGAGCUUAACUUGGAAACUGCCGUUGAUACUAUAGGUCUUGAAUUAUCUGGAGGUAAGCGGAAUAUGUCAUGUAGCGGUGAAAUGCUUAGAUAUGACAUAGAACACCAAUUGCGAAGGCAGCUUACUACAUAUAAAUUGACGCUGAGGCACGAAAGCGUGGGGAUCAAACA
rnacentral:rRNA from 1 species